GUCCAGACUCCUACGGGAGGCAGCAGUGGGGAAUAUUGCACAAUGGGGGAAACCCUGAUGCAGCGACGCCGCGUGAGCGAUGAAGUAUUUCGGUAUGUAAAGCUCUAUCAGCAGGGAAGAAAAUGACGGUACCUGACUAAGAAGCCCCGGCUAACUACGUGCCAGCAGCCGCGGUAAUACGUAGGGGGCAAGCGUUAUCCGGAUUUACUGGGUGUAAAGGGAGCGUAGACGGCAAUGCAAGCCAGAUGUGAAAGCCCGGGGCUCAACCCCGGGACUGCAUUUGGAACUGUGUAGCUGGAGUGUCGGAGAGGCAGGCGGAAUUCCUAGUGCAGCGGUGAAAUGCGUAGAUAUCAGGAGGAACACCGGUGGCGAAGGCGGCCUGCUGGACUGCAACUGACGUUGAGGCCCGAAAGCGUGGGGAGCAAACAGGAUUAGAUACCCCGGUAAC
rnacentral:rRNA from 1 species